rnacentral:misc_RNA from 1 species
AACGCACAUUGCACCUCUCGGUAUUCCGGGAGGUAUGCCUGUUCGAGCGUCAUUUGUACCCUCAAGCUCUGCUUGGUGUUGGGUGUUUGUUCCGCCUCUGCGCGUGAACUCGCCUUAAAACAAUUGGCAGCCGGCGUACUUGUUUCGGAGCGCAGCACAUUUUUUGCGCCCUCGAUCCACGUACAGCGGCAUCCAAGAAGCCUUAUUUAACGCUCUUGACCUCGGAUCAGGUAGGAAUACCCGCUGAACUUAA